UACGGGGGGAGCAAGCGUUGUUCGGAUUUACUGGGCGUAAAGGGCGCGUAGGCGGCCUCCGCAAGUCAGUUGUGAAAUCUCCGAGCUUAACUCGGAAAGGUCAACUGAUACUGCGGGGCUAGAGUGCGGAAGGGGCAACUGGAAUUCUUGGUGUAGCGGUGAAAUGCGUAGAUAUCAAGAGGAACACCUGCGGCGAAGGCGGGUUGCUGGGCUGACACUGACGCUGAAGCGCGAAAGCUAGGGGAGCGAACGGG
rnacentral:rRNA from 1 species